rnacentral:rRNA from 1 species
AACGAACGCUGGCGGCAGGCUUAACACACGCAAGUCGAACGCCCCGCAAGGGGAGUGGCAGACGGGUGAGUAACGCGUGGGAAUCUACCCAAUUCUACGGAACAACUGAGGGAAACUUCAGCUAAUACCGUGUACGCCCUACGGGGGAAAGAUUUAUCGGAAUUGGAUGAGCCCGCGUUGGAUUAGCUAGUUGGUGGGGUAAUGGCCUACCAAGGCGACGAUCCAUAGCUGGUCUGAGAGGAUGAUCAGCCACACUGGGAAUGAGACACGGCCCAGACUCCUACGGUGGGCAGCAGUGGGGAAUAUUGGACAAUGGGCGAAAGCCUGAUCCAGCCAUGCCGCGGGAGUGAUGAAGGCCUUAGGGUUGUAAAGCUCUUUCAGUUGGGAAGAUAAUGACGGUACCCACAGAAGAAGCCCCGGCUAACUUCGUGCCAGCAGCCGCCGCGG